rnacentral:rRNA from 1 species
UACGUGGGGGGCAAGCGUUGUCCGGACUUACUGGGCGUAAAGUGUGCGCAGGCGGCCGAGCAAGUCGAGUGUGAAAGCCCCGGGCUUAACCUGGGAACUGCGCUCGAAACUACUUGGCUUGAGUGUGGCAGAGGGAGGUGGAAUUCCACGUGUAGCGGUGAAAUGCGUAGAGAUGUGGAGGAACACCGAUGGCGAAGGCAGCCUCCUGGGCCAACACUGACGCUCAUGCACGAAAGCGUGGGGAGCAAACAGG